rnacentral:tRNA from 1 species
AUAGCUCAGUGGUACAGCACAUGCUUAGCAUGCAUGAGGUCCUGGGUUCAAUGCCCAGU